GACGAACGCUGGCGGCGUGCUUAACACAUGCAAGUCGAACGGGAAGGCCCCCUUGUGGGGUACUCGAGUGGCGAACGGGUGAGUAACACGUGAGUAACCUACCCUUGACUUUGGGAUAACUUCAGGAAACUGGGGCUAAUACCGGAUAGGAGCUCCUGCUGCAUGGUGGGGGUUGGAAAGUUUCGGCGGUUGGGGAUGGACUCGCGGCUUAUCAGCUUGUUGGUGGGGUAGUGGCUCACCAAGGCUUUGACGGGUAGCCGGCCUGAGAGGGUGACCGGCCACAUUGGGACUGAGAUACGGCCCAGACUCCUACGGGAGGCAGCAGUGGGGAAUAUUGCACAAUGGGCGGAAGCCUGAUGCAGCAACGCCGCGUGCGGGAUGACGGCCUUCGGGUUGUAAACCGCUUUCGCCUGUGACGAAGCGUGAGUGACGGUAAUGGGUAAAGAAGCACCGGCUAACUACGUG
rnacentral:rRNA from 1 species